AGAACGAACGUUAGCGGCGCGCCUAAGACAUGCAAGUCGAGCGAGAAAGGGCUUCGGCCCCAGUAAAGCGGCGCACGGGUGAGUAACACGUAGGUCAUCAACCCUCGAGUGGUGGACAACCCUCCGAAAGGAGGGCUAAUACAGCAUGACGCCAGCAAUGGCCAAAGCGGGCCUCUCCAUGGAAGCUCGCGCUUGAGGAUGAGCCUGCGGCCAUCAGCUAGUUGGUUGGGGUAAUGGCCCACCAAGGCUAAGACGGGUAGCUGGUCUGAGAGGAUGAACAGCCACACUGGAACUGAGACACGGUCAGACUCCUACGGGAGGCAGCAGUCGGGAAUCUUCGCAAUGGGCGAAAGCCUGGACGGAGCCGACGCCGGUCGUGGAGCGAUGGAAACGGUCCUUUACGGGUUAGUAAAGCUUCGUAGGUGGGGAAGUAAAGAAAUUAAGGGACAGGGCAAACGUCCCUAGGUUUGAUCGACGGUACCUCGUUAGCAAGCCACGGCUAACU
rnacentral:rRNA from 1 species